rnacentral:lncRNA from 1 species
GUCCCCGGCGUCCGGGCGCCCUGCAUGGAUCCCCCACCCCAGCUCCUGCUCCCCGGCGGCGGCCGGUGGGCAGAAAGACCGAAACCCACUCACGGCCGCCUGCCGAAUCGCGGCUCUGCUGUUUGUGGGGCGUGCUAGAAACGUGGUCCUAAAAAGAAUGGCGUCCAUUUACAUAAUGCUUUGUUUGCGUUUCGCAAGUUUCUUUCGGUUAAAGCCACAGAAACCCCACCUCCUGCCCUUGUGUCGUUUCCACCGCGGCACCCUUUUCCGACAUUAGAAACAAUAGUGUACGCCUGUGGAGGCCUCGUUUGUUCAGGGGCUGCCGGCCAGGGCUUCAGGACGUUUCUGCGGCUUUCCCCGCGCGGCCUGGGCUCCCGCGGCUGCUUUUCGGGCCCAUGGGCGCAGCCACUGCGCCAGGCUCAAGGGGGGCGGCCCCGUCAGGGCCCGCCAUCUUGGAAGGCCUUUUUUGCCGGUUCUUCCCGCUGAGGAAGUGUCGCUCAAGACGCUGGCCUAUGAGUUGUGAUUUCUGCCUUUUCCCCUUCCUCCUUGGGCUAAGCCAGACCAGAAAGGGCCCCGUGCGCAACGUGCUUCACAAUCUCUCAGGGAAAGCGGCUAACGUGGCGCUACUCCGCCUCCCCUGUUCCUUACCCUUGGGGCGGCCGCCAUGUUUCCUGAACACAAAAUGGCGACACGUGGUUAGCAUUCGUCGCCAACGAGAAAUUGGGGUCGGCCCGAAAGCUCUAGAAUGCACCCCUCUUCCUCCCCGGGGCCUUCCACCUCCGCGAGUUUUAUGACUUAAAAAAGCCCACAGGCUGGUCUGAAGGUCGGAGGCCUAAUUUUAACGCGUUUUCCUCCCUUUAAUUUGAAACGGGAACGCGAAUGACUGUAAAAUGUGGGCACAAUAUUUAAUCUCUCGCCUUUUUAAAGCUUAAUAGUGGAUAAUAGGGGGGCAGUAUCAAGGGAUAAUUUGGGUCCCCACAGUACCAAAGCAUUUAGAAACCUCUGUUUAAUUUAAGGAAUGAGAUAAGUUACUGCUUUUCUAGACUUCCUAGCAUGGGCUGUUGUGCUGGAGAGAACGAGAGCUACGAAGAGACUACAGUGCCUCUGACUUUUUCAUAGGACAGUUGGCCGAGGAAGACAAACAUAAAGAUGAAGUGCUUAAUUCAAGGUCACACAAUGUCGGGGAUGGACCUCCAGAUUUCCUUACUGGUGAGACGUGGUCUUGUAACACAGUGGUUAAGAAUGUGACUUUGGAGCCAGCCUGCUAGGGGCUGAAUUCUGACUCAGCCAUUUACUAACUGUGUGACCUUAGGGAGGAGGACCUGGUUGAUAGAAGAAUUUAUCUCGUAGUCUUAACAUCCACUGUAAUUCCAAACUUUGAGGACGAUAGAGAUCAGUGGGCUUUGACUGCCCAGCAUGCAGUCUCCAUUCUUAGGUGGGUUCCCAAGCCUGUAAAAUGUAAGCCUUAUGCUGCUGAGGGCCAUCUUGCCACCCUGAGGGAAACGCUGCCUGAGAAUGAAACAAGCAUAAGUAAAAGCUGAGCUGUGAGAUGGAGCAAGAUGAAGGCCACAUGACAUCUUUGGAGCACCUGGAUCUAACUGUGCCUUAAGCUAGUCUAACCCUGAACAUUUCAUCAUUUCAUUGACAUGAGCCCAGGUUUUCUUUUUUUUUGGAUGGAGUCUUGCUCUGUCGCCCAGGCUGGAGUGCAGUAGCUCAAUCUCGGCUCACUGCAAGCUCCACCUCCCGGGUUCACGCCAUUCUCCUGCCUUAGCCUCCCAAGUAGCUGGGACAACAGGCGCCCACCACCACUCCCAGCUAAUUUUUUGUAUUUUUAGUAGAGACGGGGUUUUACCAUGUUAGCCGGGAUGGUCUUGAUCUCCUGACCUCAUGAUCCGCCCGCCUCGGCCUCCCAAAGUGCUGGGAUUACAGGUGUGAGCCACUGCACCCAGCCCUCAGGUUUUCCCUUUUUUUACCCCUCCUUUUGAAAAUUUGAUGUGGAAUUUUGCCACCUGCAGCCAGAAGAGUUUUAACUAAUCAGUGCCAUAAAUUUUAUAUAGUUCUCCUUGCAAAAUGUGGAUCAGCCUUUCUCAGCAAAUCCUUUGUCAUAAAGUGCUGAAUUGUAAGUUUGUCAUGAGAAUCACAUGAGAUCAUGCAUGUGAAGAACCUGGCAUUAUCCUCCUCAUAGAAAAAAACCAGUAAAUAUUAACUACAGGAAGCAAGGAAGGAGUGGGGUGAGGGGAAGAAGAAGGGGUACUGAUUUAAAAGAACCCUGGAGUCCUAAGGAUAAUCUAGGAACCCUCAGACCCAAUCCGAUACCCCUAUUCUAAAUGCUCCUAGUGCCCUGUACCUUCCCCUCAUAAGCCUUCAUUAUCAUUGUAAUGAUAUGUUUAUGUAAUAUUUUGAUUAAUGUCUCUCCUUCACUGACCUAGCAGUUCUAGCAGGGCAGUGAUUUUGCUGUGUUGCAUCCCCAGCACCUAGUCUGGUAUGUGGCAUUCAGCAUAUGUUUAUUGAAUGAAUGGCCAUGUGGUUAUUCAGAUCCUCCUUGAUUAUUGGGGUUAGGAUUGUGGCAGAAGUGGCAAAAUCAGGGAGAGUAGUCCCUGUCCCCUCUGUAUCUUAUACACUGCCCACACUCCCAACACACAUACACAUACAGAGAAUUUUGUCUCAAUUAGAUAAUUAACUUCUGCUUGGUUGUAAACCAAACCACUGGUUCUUAAACUUUCAUUGGAUCAUUUUAUUGAAGAAUUAAAUAGUGUGGUUCUGGCCUAAUGUCUGGAAAGCCUUGCAGAGGAGUGGAUUAGGUCUUUGUGAUAAACAGGCAGCCUUCCCUGCUCCUGUGUCUUUAUAAAAUCUAUUUAACUGGAGUAGUCCACCCUCCCUCAGGCUCUUACAGGAAUAUGUUGGAGGCUGUAGGAAGGUGGGAAACCGAGAGGGAAAGGACUGGGCCGCUGGAGACUUCACUCAUUCCCUAGCAAGAAACAAAAGCAGUAAAAGGUGGCCCGAGGACAACCUGAAGCUCACUCCUUCAGCACUUUUGGCUGGAGGUCACUUGUUGGAGCCCCACUCAGAGCUCAGCACACCACCCCACCAGCAGCCUCCUCCUCCCAGCUGAGGCUGCAUUUCAUCCCUUCCCCCAGCCUGCUUUCCCUGAGAUAGGGGAGUGUUUCCCAGGGCCCAUGUGACUUCCACUGGCAAGUGACGAUUACCAAUGGUUUACUAGUCAGUGAAACUACCAAAGGCUUUUGUGCUGUAGUAAUCCUUUUCCUGUUUAAAACUCUGGGGAUUUUCUAAUGUUGCCAAUAGUUUUUCAAGUCAGCAAUUACUGUGUGGAUUAUGUAAUGGCUCGGUAUUAAAAAUAGAAAAGACUGGA